rnacentral:rRNA from 1 species
CCUACGGGGUGCACCAGUGGGGAAUAUUGCACAAUGGGCGCGAGCCUGACGCAGCCAUGCCGCGUGUAUGAAGAAGGCCUUCGGGUUGUAAAGUACUUUCAGCGGGGAGGAAGGCGAUAAGGUUAAUAACCUUGUCGAUUGACGUUACCCGCAGAAGAAGCACCGGCUAACUCCAUGCCAGCAGCCGCGGUAAUACGGAGGGUGCAAGCGUUAAUCGGAAUUACUGGGCGUAAAGCGCACGCAGGCGGUCUGUCAAGUCGGAUGUGAAACCCCCGGGCUCAACCUGGGAACUGCAUUCGAAACUGGCAGGCUAGAGUCUUGUAGAGGGGGGUAGAAUUCCAGGUGUAGCGGUGAAAUGCGUAGAGAUCUGGAGGAAUACCGGUGGCGAGGGCGGCCCCCUGGACAAAGACUGACGCUCAGGUGCGAAAGCGUGGGGAGCAAACAGGAUUAGAUACCCCAGUAGUC